UGAAGAUGCCAGGCGUGCAGCGGAGCCCUCCUUAGUUGGCUUACCUCAGACUAUCAGUGGUGACAGUGGGGGAAUGUCAGCAGUUUCAGAUGGGAGUAGCAGCAGCCUAGCAGCCUCUGCUUCUCUUUUCCCGUUGAAGGUGCUACCGCUGACGACACCCCUGGUGGAUGGCGAGGAUGAGAGUGCUUCUCUCCUACCAGAGGUGCAAGGAGUGAUCCUAGAACCACAGAUACAGCCAAGACCACGGAGAGCUUUUGACGUCAGGGGUCCACUUUCUCCACUGAACCCUUGGAGACAGAAUAUCCAGCUUCUGGAGAGAGUGGGAAAGGAUAAUAAACAAAUUUCUUUCAACUGGUAAAACAUCAUACUUCUUCAGCAAAAGGAAUUCUUCUAGCAGAGCCUUCAUGGAUGAUAUCUGUCACACAUGCCAGCACCUGCAGUUUGGAAGGCAGUGGUGAAUGGAUCCAUGCAAUAUGUCUAGAAGACACAAGGAUGAGCCAGCCACCUGAUCUUGUCAUUUAUAAACUUUUAAGAAUUACUCUGGUUUACUUUUGGUCUGAAAAUGGAAAGGCUCAAAUAAUGAAAUAAUCUUUUCAGAUUGGAAUUUUACAUGGCCAUGAAAAUAUUUCUUUCUAUUCAGAAGACUGAAAUAGAGGAAGCUUGAGAGACUCCUUUCUUUUAAAAGCAGCUCUCUGUAUCUGUUUCAUUUAAAACAUUUGUGGGAUUGAAAAUCACCUUAAUGAAGUAGGCAAACAUUUUUUUAAGUAGUAGAGGAAGUCCAGAAAACUUAAUGAAAUGGUUUUUUUUGUUGCCUGACACUGGAAGUAACUAGUAAAUAAAGGGUGAACUUCUUAAUUAUUCAAAAACUGCUUUUAAUAUUAGGAUAUACUCUUUUAGCUCAUC
rnacentral:sRNA from 1 species